rnacentral:rRNA from 1 species
UUCGGAGUGUAAACCACUGUCGCGAGGGACGAAGCUCUGACGGUACCUCGAAAGGAAGCACCGGCUAACUCUGUGCCAGCAGCCGCGGUAAUACAGAGGGUGCAAGCGUUGUCCGGAAUCACUGGGCGUAAAGGGCGCGUAGGCGGCCCGGUAAGUAGGGGGUGAAAUCUCACGGCUCAACUGUGAGGCUGCCUUCUAGACUGCCAGGCUCGAGCACAGUAGAGGCUGGUGGAAUUCCCGGUGUAGCGGUGGAAUGCGUAGAGAUCGGGAAGAACAUCUGUGGCGAAGGCGGCCAGCUGGGCUGUUGCUGACGCUGAUGCGCGACAGCGUGGGGAGCAAACAGGAUUAGAUACCCUGGUAGUCCACGCCGUAAACGAUGGGCACUAGGCGUCGGGGGGAGCGACCCUCUCGGUGCCGUCGCUAACGCAAUAAGUGCCCCGCCUGGGGAGUACGGUCGCAAGACUGAAACUCAAAUGAAUUGACGGA